rnacentral:sRNA from 1 species
AGUACUCGAUACGUUCGUUUUUAUUGAGCGGGAGUAAAACUUAGGAAACAACCUAAACGUUGUUUUUUGAAAUCCAACUCGAGCAUUCCGCUUAAAAAUUGGCGCAGUCGGUAGGAUUACCCUGUCAUUGUGGUAAUCCGUGAAACGUACUUACGUGAAAACGAUUAUCCAAUGCAAAAGGACAUCAGUCGGCCGUAGUGCAAAAAAUUUUCCUAAUUAAAAGGAUAAAGAAGAAGUCGUACAUCCGCGAAAAGGAGGGUACGCAAAUUGCGCCUUAAGAAAAUAAAAUAAGUGAACUGGAAUUAUCAAAGAAAACAAAUUUUAAGUAAAACAAAAGUAACGUUAAAAGUGAAAAUUUUUUGCGAAAUUAAGAAACUCUCUUAACAAAAUAAAUACAUUUAAGGAAAAAGCGAAAUAUAUACACUGUGAAAAGCAAAAAUAAAUUUAAUAAAAAGAAAUAUUUUAAUCAAAUUUUAAAUUAAAUAGUCACAUAAAAAAGGAAAGCAGAAAACCAGCAAGAUGAACCCGGUAGGAAAAGCAUCAAUAAAUGACGGCAACCUAAGGUCUAUGAAUAUCAACCUUUUGACUUAUUUGCAAAAGUUAAGAGAAUUUGAUUGGAGAAAGAAAAAUAUAACUGCGUUUGUAACAAACAUAGACUACAUUAUACCAACAAUGAUGUUAUAUUGCUUAAUCGAAAUUAACCGGAAGAGCAAGGAGAGCCAUGGAAGUCCAUCCUCAUCUGAUAGCAUGGAGAGAAAUUGAAGACAUGCUAUUCACAAAUUUUGGAAAUUUUUCAACAUUAGAACAGCUUUUAGGAGUUGAGAGAAGCUCAGUAUAAGGAAGAUACCAUUGAGUUUUACCAUUUUAUCUAACAUAAAUUGGCUAUAUUAAAUCAGAGAUGUGGACAUGAAGGUAGAAUGGGCGAAGUGAAUAGUAACAUACAAACGGCCCUUAAAACAUUUGUAACAAAUCAUCAUGUGCACAUGAGAGCUGCGUUAUGUGCACUAAUACCAACAACCAUGGAAGAAGCUCUACACGAAUUAAACUCAGCAGGCUUCUUGAACCAAGAAAAGAAGCAAGACAAACCUCACUCCAGCAGUAAACAUCAGCAAUGAAAGCCGAUAAUAACACAUCUAGUAUAUAGAACACCAAUACAAUGGCAGAAGAAUUCAUCCCAACAAUGGCAGCCAAGAUCACCUCAACAAGAACGGCAAAAUAGGUCACCACAACAAAAAUGGGUCACCACAACAAAAGAGGUACUCACAACAACAACAUUGGCAGCCAAGAUAUCCACAACACCAACAAAGGCAACCACCACCUAGAUUCCAACAGAAGCCAGAACCGAUGGAAGUAGAUGCAUCCCAACAGCUAAAAAGACAAACCCACCAUCAGGAGAAGGAUAACAAUACGAAUGUAUGGUGAUACUCCUCUUCAUUCUGCAUCUCGAUACGGCCAUACAGGAGUAAUAAGAGUAUUGAUAUCUGCGUUAUGUGACAGAAACCUACAAAAUAAUAAUGGAGAUACAGCUUUACACAUUGCAUGCGCUAUGGGGAACCGCAAGUUGGUCAAAAUCUUAUUAAAGUCAAACUCUUCAAGAAGUAUAAUGAAUAUGCAAGGCUAUACACCGAUUGAUAUAACCAGACAAAAACAGUUUAAAGAAAUUGAACACCUUAUAAGAUCUUACAAAGAUAAAGAUAUAUCUGAAUGUGAAUUAUUAACAAUGAAAUCUAUCCGAUCCCCAUAUGGAUGUCAAACUGGGCCAAAUUUUGGACCAAUAUUUUUGUCCAAUGUGGAAUUAUUAUCUCAAAUAAAACUGCAAGAUGGCGAACAAUAUUAUUUCGACUUGGCCGGAACGGUACACAAAGGACCAAAAUCCUAUACAAAUAUAUGCUAUUGUGAUCCUUUAAUAGAUCAUAGCAAUAGAAAUUAAUUGAUACAUGCUAACAUAUUUUUUAAUUAUAUAAACACUUUUUAUUAAAUAUAUAAACAAACAUUUUAACUAGACGGUCCAAGAAAACUGUCGAUUCUAUUCAAUUUGAUAUAGAGAAAUUCAUACUUGUAGAUAUAGUUUUGUUAUGAUUUUUUAAAUUCCGAAUCUUAUAACCACAGUCUAAUUUUAUAUCGGAAUUCUUUAAAAUUUUAAAUGGUGAAUUGUGCUUGCGCGCAAAUAUAAUGAUCUUAAGUUUUGUCUUAUUUAGUUUAAAGAACAGUAAAUCUCAUCCGCUUUCAACUAUACAUCACAUUUUUUGCAAUUCACACUAUUUGUAACUGACCUGUCAAAAUGACUGGUAAGAUGUUUUUAAAAACACAAAAUUGUAUAUAGUUUUUUCCUGCUAUUUUGUUUAAUUUCAUAAAUUUCCCACCUACACAUUGAAGCAAUCAUUUCGAUCAACUAAGCACAGUAUGACAAUAAAAAAGUUUGGUAUUUUUAGUGUUAAAAAACAAUCUCAUGGCAGCCGACGCUGUGAAUGCGUCUGUGCAUUGCUUACUAUGCAUUAGAAACUACUUGCUCUGAAGGAAACAUAUAUAUAAGGUCUAUACUUUAAAAGAUAUAAUAUCGGAUUGGGAUUGUGACUUACAGUUCGCGGUUACAUAACCAGGUG